AUUGAACGCUGGCGGCAGGCUUAACACAUGCAAGUCGAGCGGGGGAAGGUAGCUUGCUACCGGACCUAGCGGCGGACGGGUGAGUAAUGCUUAGGAAUCUGCCUAUUAGUGGGGGACAACAUCCCGAAAGGGAUGCUAAUACCGCAUACGUCCUACGGGAGAAAGCAGGGGAUCUUCGGACCUUGCGCUAAUAGAUGAGCCUAAGUCGGAUUAGCUAGUUGGUGGGGUAAAGGCCUACCAAGGCGACGAUCUGUAGCGGGUCUGAGAGGAUGAUCCGCCACACUGGGACUGAAACACGGCCCAGACUCCUACGGGAGGCAGCAGUGGGGAAUAUUGGACAAUGGGGGGAACCCUGAUCCAGCCAUGCCGCGUGUGUGAAGAAGGCCUUAUGGUUGUAAAGCACUUUAAGCGAGGAGGAGGCUACUCUAGUUAAUACCUAGGGAUAGUGGACGUUACUCGCAGAAUAAGCAGCGGCUAACUCUGUGCCAGCCGCCGCAGUAA
rnacentral:rRNA from 1 species